rnacentral:lncRNA from 1 species
AGUAUGAUAAUCAGAAUUCAGUUUCUCUUCUACCAGUUAUUUCUUCUUCAUUAUCUGUGCUAGUUUUAACAAAAUCUAACAACUCCCCUUCAUGAGGAACUGUUACAAUUGGUCCAGCACUGGCAUGCCAGAGUUCCUUGUAUAAUGCAUCAUUUUGAGAAGCCCCUAGAGAAAUAUCAAACCAUAUUAUUUUUCAAUUUUACAAGUAAAUCAUUAUCUUACUGUGCAAUGCAGAAGCAUAAGAAUAGGCUACUAGCAUAUAAAUCACAUACAAGUGCAAUAAAUGUUAAUGAAUAAAGGAAGAUUCACAUAGCACAUAUGUUAUGAUCAUAUUAUAAAUACAUGACUAUGUCAUUUUCAUUUGGUCAUUUUGCUUAGUCAUGUAUUUAUGAUAUGAUCAUAGCUUAUGUUCUAUGUGAAUCUUCCUUUAUACAUUAACAUUCAUUGCACUUAUAUGUCAUUUAUGUGCUAGUACCCUAUUCUUGUGCUUCCUCGCUGCAUAGUCCUAUAAUGAGUUACUUGCAAAAUUGAAAAACAAUAGUGUUUGAUCUUUCUGUAGGGGCUUCUCCAAAUGAUGCAUUAUACAAGGAACUCUGGCAUGCCUGUGCUGGACCAAUUGUAACGGAAAGAGUUUACUACAACAAGUAUACUGCAAUAUUUCUCCAACAACAUGUUAUCAGCUUAGUCUAUUUCCAUGGAUCACAUCGCCAUCAUGAAAGUGACACACACGUGAUGUUCAAAAUUCAGGAGGUGAUAAGAAUGUAUUAUCACAUUGAAUAGACUACCAAAUAAGGAUUUGUAUUUGCUAAUGAAUUUAAUCUAGUUGUACGAAAUAAAUGUAAUCAAUGUUUAUCUAGCUACAAGUUCCUCAUAAUAUUUAGAGUAUGAGUCAGAACUGAAGCUUUUAUUAAGAUCGAAUACAGCUUUGAGAGAAUAGCAGAAGAAGGGCGUAAUUGAAGAGAUCUUCUUCUAUCUCAAAACCGUUAACUAAGAUCGGAAUAUUGAACUAAGAAGAGGAAGCUAUAAAGGUGAAGGAAGAUAUUUAAAGCAAGAACUUAGAUUUGGAAGAAGACUACUUGAAUUUGUUUGUAUUAGAUUCGUUUUUUGUUGGUUGCAAAUGUAAAAGACCAUCCCUAUUGAUACUUUCUCAUGUAAUUUCUCAUGAUUCUAGAAAAUCUUCUAGAUAUCUUUACAAGAAAAAUCUAGUGAUCUUUAUCUUCUACCACUACUCUAGAUGUAACGCCCCACAUUUCGGGCUAUAAUAUAGACCAUGAUUUCGAUGCUUUGAUAAUCCCAAAGCCAUAAAUCCUAUUCCAAUAUGACAUGUUAAUUAUUUGCAUAGUAAGUGA